CGUUGAAGGUCUUGGUGUGACACGGGGAGGUUUUAGUCGGUAGGCGCCGGACCGAACUUCGGUUCGGGGCGGCGAAUCCGACACUGCCCCGGGAUGGUUCCCCGGGCGUCUUUUGAAGAUUUCCUCCUCGACAAC
rfam:Trachymyrmex cornetzi contig59817, whole genome shotgun sequence.